UACGGAAGGUCCAAGCGUUAAUCGGAAUUACUGGGCGUAAAGCGCACGUAGGUGGCUUGUUAAGUCGGGUGUGAAAGCCCCGGGCUCAACCUGGGAACUGCAUUCGAUACUGGCAAGCUAGAGUACGGGAGAGGAAGGUGGAAUUCCAGGUGUAGCGGUGAAAUGCGUAGAGAUCUGGAGGAACAUCGGUGGCGAAGGCGGCCUUCUGGCCUGAUACUGACGCUGAGGUGCGAAAGCGUGGGGAGCAAACAGG
rnacentral:rRNA from 1 species